rnacentral:rRNA from 1 species
GAUGAACGCUAGCGACAGGCCUAACACAUGCAAGUCGAGGGGCAGCACAAGGAGCAAUCUGAGGUGGCGACCGGCGCACGGGUGAGUAACACGUAUGCAACCUGCCUAUCAGAGGGGGAUAACCCGGCGAAAGUCGGACUAAUACCGCAUAAAACAGGGGCACCGCAUGGUGAUAUUUGUUAAAGAAAUUCGCUGAUAGAUGGGCAUGCGUUCCAUUAGGUAGUUGGUGAGGUAACGGCUCACCAAGCCGACGAUGGAUAGGGGAACUGAGAGGUUGGUCCCCCACACUGGUACUGAGACACGGACCAGACUCCUACGGGAGGCAGCAGUGAGGAAUAUUGGUCAAUGGGCGGGAGCCUGAACCAGCCAAGUCGCGUGAAGGAAGAAGGAUCUAUGGUUCGUAAACUUCUUUUGCAGGGGAAUAAAGUGCAGGACGUGUCCUGUUUUGUAUGUACCCUGAGAAUAAGGAUCGGCUAACUCCGUGCCAGCAGCCGCGGUAAA